UGAGCCUUUGAAGAUUAUACAAGUGAGGCUUUUGUUGGCUGUGAUGUGCCUUAUGUAUUUUCUAUGUCUGUUGCAAACAGUACUUGUGAUUAAAGUACCCAGGAAAAAGAAAAGGUCUCUUUGGUCACCAUCCUCUAAGUCAAAAGAAAUUGUUCAGCAUACUCCAAAUGGAGGAAGAUCGUACCCUGAGGAGGAAAUACUUGGUGAACUAGCAGAAAGCAUAAUCUAGAGUCCAGAGAGGAGGUAACCAGAGAAAAGAGUGCUAUCUGCCAAAUGCUUGUGCUUUUCUCAAUGUCAGAAUAUUUCCUAGGAUCUCCCAAUGUGCUGUUCCCUCAGUCAGAUGGAGAUUGAGCUAACCAGUGUGCCAGUUCAUUUUAACAUCACUCUCGUUUCUGUAAAUGAAACAGCAGAAAAAGAAAAGUCAGGUAGAAUGGAAAGAAAAUUCCUUUCCCUGCCAAUGAACAAAAUAAAUGAUGAUAGUAAAUUUCGGUGCUUUCCUCCACUCCAUUUCUUCUACACUGAAAUGGUGCUACAGAAGAAAAGGUAAACACAUGCUUUCUCUGCUGAAGUUUCCCUGUACAUGGAAGAAUGAGGUCAAACAUUUUAAUGGGAGAAUAUAUUAAAAGGAUUGUCAUGUGUAAGGUAUGAAUGUAUUUGUACUGUUCUUAUGAGCCUUCAAAUCGACAAAUAUUUUGGGAAUAGAUAUCAGAAUUCUUGUUCUUUCAUUCUUGUAGAAAGUUGUGUCAGUUUAACAUGCUACACUUCAGCCAGUUCCAUGACUGUUGGCUUGCACUUCUGUUCUUGUUCUGUUUCAGAGGGAGAACAAAAAUUAGUAUCGUUGGAUAAUACUUUGUUAUCUAUAAUUUUUUGAGGUGGCAAAGUAGUAUAUGCUAUAACAUAUACUGUUGCAUAUAUUUAAUGAAGUUCCCACUGUGCUUCAGUUUACAAGCUCAAAAGCUGAUGCAUACAUGAAAGCCACGCACUGAAGAAACCUGUGCAACAUACAGAAAGAGUUAAACACAUAUGCUGAUAUAUGCAUACUCACAAAGCAUGGAAAUGCUGGUAAACUUAAAUAUUUCUUGAAUUUUGAAAAAAGCCUCAGCUUUGCUAUUAAAAAGCCAAGGUGUUUUGUUUGUUAGUUUGUUUGUUUUGUUUUGUUUGUUUUGUUUGUUUGUUUGUUUCUGUAUAGUAGUAUGAAAUAGGCACUCUCAAGUUCAGGUUUAUCCAUGUGUGUCAACUCUCAGAUGCACUCUGUAACUCUUUAUGGGACUGUUAUAGUUGUAAAAGCAACACAGCCAGCUUCCUUAGCUGUGUCCUUUGCACACAAACAAAGAAUGGAGAACUGGAGACAAAAGCAAACCAUCAGAAAGCACAUGUUCAGGAAAUCAUAGCUGCCACUGUUUCUUGUGAGCCAGUAGAGUCAGAGCCAUGAGAAGACCCAACUUACAUAAAAUAAAUCUCCAGACAGUGUAUUUCUGAACAUGUUUAAUACAACCCAAAAUAUCAACGAUUUGACUGAACUAAAGAGAGCUGCUUGUUUUGUACUUUAUGGUAUUGCUGCUUGUUUUGUACUUUAUGGUAUUGCUAGAAACUACAUUAUCCUAUACUCAAUCUAUUAUUAUAUUUUCAGUUCAACUCCAUUAAAAAAAUAUCUUUCUUCUCUAGUAGAUGACUUAACAAAACUUCUAAUUAUCAUAUCUUAGUACUAUUAUUAUAAGGAAAAGUUUCUUAAUAUUUUUUGUCAAUCCGGAGUAUUACUACAUAAUUUUCUAAAAGUACCCCACUGAACUUUGGUUUCAUUUCUAGUAGUCAUUGCUACUAGAACUAUACUGGAAUUGAUCUCCUUGUUUAUCCGAAGGUUGGUGAAACUACAGGAAAUGUGAGUAAGUUUGUAUGACUAAAAUUAUUUUUAUUUUUCCUGAAAAGUAAGUGCAUUCAGAUGUAUAGGAAUAGAUUGGAAAAAAUCCAAAAUGCUCUGCUGUUCAUAAGUAUACCUGUCACAGUUCAUUGAGGCUUUUAGAUGAUGUUCCACAAAUAUUCCAGUCAUCGUAAAUCCACUCUGUCCUUGGCAUUUAUUUUCCAUGCAUAUAUUAGAAAAUUUGUGCAACACCUAACUCAGUUUUCUUUCAAACCUAUACUUAGUGAACUUGGAAACCAAAAUAUAUGUGUUUUUGCCAUGUCUUGUUUGAAUCAUCUUAUCUCUACACUGAAAGCAGUCAUUCAUCAUUGAGGCCACUUUUUAGGUUGGUUUACUAAAAGCUUGCAUUAUUUUCAUUUAUAUUUUGCUCUUUCAAUUUACUUAGUACAAUUGCCGUAUGCUGGAAGAUCCUGGCCUCCUUUUUGAAAGCUUUUAGAAGAGACAACUGCAACAGUUCUAUCUGGUGUUGAAAUAUAAGUAUUUUGGACAUAUGUUCUUGAGAAUGUCUUCAUCUGAGCAUCUAGAUAACAUGAAGGAUACCUUGAAUAAUCUGCGUUUUGAAGUCUUAAAAAUGAAAUGAAAUUUUCAGUCAAUCAAGAUUCUACUGUAUUUCUGGUUGACUAGUUUCAGAACUUAAUUAUAAUUCCAGAUGGAAUAAGAUGUUUUUCCUAAUGCAUUAUCCAGGUUUUCAGUACUUGAAAUUAAAGUAAUUGCUCUUUGUUUUAUCUUUGAUUGGCAUGGGGGAGUAAUUAAUUGAACUCCUUUUUUUCAUUUUCCUUCAUUUUUGAACUCUAUUGUUAUGGCUCAUCUCAGUCUUCUGUCUCUUUUUGAAUGUUAUAAUAAUUCAAGCCUCUUAGUUCUUGCUGUGUUUAUGUUCUCCGUGGCCUGUCUAAUAAUAGAUGGUACUCAAAACUAGAUGGUGCACACCAGAUGAGAUUAUCCAUUACAGUUUCUAGAAAUUAAAAAUCCAUGUAUUCUCAACCAUACAUCCUUUAUUGUAGACUUUGUAGACUCACACUUAGUUCUUUGGAACAAGACUGUAUACUUGCACGUACAUAAAAAAUGCAUUAUAAAUCUUCCUUCUGUCCUGUUUUAUACACCAAUAUUAAUACUUCAUUUCAGUGACAAAGAGGAAUUACAGGGAAAAAGUGUACUACUGCAAGCACAAGCCAAAAUCUCAAAUAUGUUCUGUUUAAAAGAAUGAAAAAAGAAAAUCAAAACCCUAAUCCUGUGCUUUGUAAUUACAGCUUGGCCAAAUUGAA